GAUGAACGCUGGCGGCGUGCCUAAUACAUGCAAGUCGAGCGAACGGACGAGAAGCUUGCUUCUCUGAUGUUAGCGGCGGACGGGUGAGUAACACGUGGAUAACCUACCUAUAAGACUGGGAUAACAUCGGGAAACCGGAGCUAAUACCGGAUAAUAUUUUGAACCGCAUGGUUCAAAAGUGAAAGACGGUCUUGCUGUCACUUAUAGAUGGAUCCGCGCUGCAUUAGCUAGUUGGUAAGGUAACGGCUUACCAAGGCAACGAUGCAUAGCCGACCUGAGAGGGUGAUCGGCCACACUGGAACUGAGACACGGUCCAGACUCCUACGGGAGGCAGCAGUAGGGAAUCUUCCGCAAUGGGCGAAAGCCUGACGGAGCAACGCCGCGUGAGUGAUGAAGGUCUUCGGAUCGUAAAACUCUGUUAUUAGGGAAGAACAUAUGUGUAAGUAACUGUGCACAUCUUGACGGUACCUAAUCAGAAAGCCACGGCUAACUACGUG
rnacentral:rRNA from 1 species